rnacentral:lncRNA from 1 species
UGAGAUGAGUGCUGAGCGCCAAACAGCCAUAUCUACCAUCUAUGGGAUCCCUGAGAGCUGCCCAGGUUGAUAUGACUGGAACCGUGGGCCCAUGGUGAAAGCAAAGAGUGGGUGCAGCAUCUUCAGGUCUCCCCACCCUUUCAUAUCUCAAGGCCCAGCGUUCCUGACCAGAAGCCUUCUCUGGAUAAAGUGUCUGUUGCAAUAGCAGCCGAUCCGCUGGAGCCAAGUCUUAAGGCCCAGAAUAUGCACAUUGAGCUGUGCAGAUGCCAUGCUUUCCUGGAGACUUCCAGAAACAGGUCACUCCCCUACUGUGAUUCCUCCAACUUCUCCCAGAUGGGGCAAGACAAUAUUAUCUAGCUUAAAAUAAAGCAGCCUGGGUUACACUUUAUUUAAGAAGCCAGCGUGGGAUGAACUUAAGAACUAGGAGACCAGAAUCUUAAAACAGGCAGAUGCAGUGCUGCAAGAUUUUACUCCUGGCCACUUCGCACCCUACUGUGGGACCAGGCCUCUAAGGACCUUCCAGGCAUAUCAGUACAGGGAGAAAGGGCUGCAGGUGCUGACCUGGAAGGGCUCCAUCCUGGUUGCUACUUACUGUCUUGGUCAGUCCAGGGCAGGGUGGAUUUGGCCUCCUUGUGAGAACAAGAGGGGGAACUAAUUUAGCUGUAUUAUGCGUUCGCAGUGAGAGAAAGAAAUUUCGAAUAAAAGGGUGUUCUCCCCAACGAAGCAGCCGAGUGCAGGACCUUGAGUUUUAAGUCUGUUUCCUUCACGGUAAUGCCCUCGUGUUGCACAAAAGGAGAUGUACCACCGAUAUCGCGCGCCGUGUCCUCAAUUGUAGAACUCCACUCCCCCGUCACGUGCGCCCCCACCCCCUCAUCCGGGCACCAUAACUGCUCCACAAAUGACGUUCGCAGAAUCUUGCCCCUCUUCCAGGCCAUAGGAAUGCCAAAGAGCGCUGAGCAAUACUGUUUGCAAACCCCUGACCUCUGGGGGCGGGUUUCCCCCGAGCCACUGUUCCUGAUCUCCCUCCAGCCCUAAGCAUCUCGCCCCUGCUGCCCGACUGACCCUCCCCAGUGACCACUUCCCUGCCUGCCCCAAGCGAGGCAGCACCACCCUCAAGGUGGUACAACUUCCCG